rnacentral:rRNA from 1 species
CACGUAGGGUGCGAGCGUUGUCCGGAAUUAUUGGGCGUAAAGAGCUCGUAGGCGGUGUGUCGCGUCGGCCGUGAAAACCUGCAGCUUAACUGUGGGCGUGCGGUCGAUACGGGCAUCACUGGAGUUCGGCAGGGGAGACUGGAAUUCCUGGUGUAGCGGUGAAAUGCGCAGAUAUCAGGAGGAACACCGGUGGCGAAGGCGGCUCUCUGGGACGGUACUGACGCUGAGACGCGAAAGCGUGGGGAGCGAACAGG